GUUAGCUGAAGGUUUAGAUGUGUCACAUGAUGAGUUUUCUCUUGAUGCGUUUUCUUGUUAACUCCGUAUCAUUUAAGCUUUGUUUGUAGCUUCUGUUGUUAUCAUGAUUCUUGACAGUAGGGGAGACAUGAGAAGAUAUACACUACAGACUCUUCCAAUCUGAUUAUUUUCACCAGGAAAUUGCUGAAGUUUCUCUUGUCAUUGCUCCCAAGAUAACCCAGGAACAACCUCAUAACUCCAACCAGGGAAUUUUUGCUGCUGCCACUAUGAUCGUGCCGGAUUUCCAGGUGGUGAGCUACCUGAUGAUGCUAGCAAGUUUCUUUCAUUGCCUGAUCUAUUUUGACAGCAGGGUUAAAGAAUUUCGGAACCAGAAGCAAAGACUGACAUUGGCAAAAGCCCAGCUGCAGAAAGAUAUUGGAGAUGCCAAAGCUCAAAAACGAGGAAUCAAGGAUGGUGUGGAGACAUGGCUAGAAGAAGCCGAGCAGGUCCUGAAAGCAGUGCGCACCCUGGAAGAUAAUAUACGAGACCACAAUUGGCGUUUAACUUCACGUCUCAAUUGGAGCCAACGAUUCCACUUAAGCAAUGAAAUAGAACAACAGGAACAAAAGAUUAUCCGCCUCGUAUGGAAUAGCCACUAUGA